rnacentral:rRNA from 1 species
GAAACAAUACAACUUUCAGCAACGGAUCUCUUGGCUCUCGCAUCGAUGAAGAACGCAGCGAAAUGCGAUAAGUAAUGUGAAUUGCAGAAUUCAGUGAAUCAUCGAAUCUUUGAACGCACCUUGCGCUCCUUGGUAUUCCGAGGAGCAUGCCUGUUU